rnacentral:rRNA from 1 species
UACUAGAGUAGCACUCGCAUAUCAAUAAGCGGAGGAAAAGAAACUAACAAGGAUUCCCCUAGUAACGGCGAGUGAAGCGGGAAGAGCUCAAAUUUGAAAUCUUAAAGGGUUUCCCUUUACGAAUUGUAGUUUAAAGAAGUGUUUUCUGUUGAGGUUUUGGUAAAAGUUCUUUGGAAUAGGACAUCAUAGAGGGUGAGAAUCCCGUAUUUGACCCUUACUUUCAACUUUGUGAUACACUUUCAAAGAGGUCGGAUUGUUUGGGAAUGCAGUCCAAAAUGGGUGGUAAAUUUCAUCUAAAGCUAAAUAUUGGCGAGAGACCGAUAGCGAACAAGUACCGUGAGGGAAAGAUGAAAAGAACUUUGAAAAGAGAGUUAAACAGUACGUGAAAUUGUCAAAAGGGAAGCGUUUGACACCAGUGUUGUUUUUCUGAAAAUCAAUUAAAGAACUGUUUAUGCUAAGCUGUUUAGACUUUAUCAGCUAAUCUGUUUAGUUUUGAGCUUUUCUUUAAUGCACUUUUCAGUUAACAAGUCAACAUCAAUUUCUUUUGCUGUAAAAAAGCUUGAGGAAGGUGGCUUGAGAUUCGUCUUAAGUGUUUAUAGCCUCUUGCCUAUGCAGUCGGAGAGAUUGAGGUCUGCAGCGUAGAUCCUUCGGGGCUAAAUGCAUUUGUGCUAAGUUAUAGCAUUUUAUAGACAACUUGUUGACUAUGAUUUGUCUUGUAGCUUACUCGCUUAUGUUAUUUUACCUACGCUUAGGAUGUUGAGCGCAUGUCUCUCUCU